rnacentral:rRNA from 1 species
AGAGUUUGAUCAUGGCUCAGAGCGAACGCUGGCGGCAGGCUUAACACAUGCAAGUCGAACGCAUCCUUCGGGGUGAGUGGCAGACGGGUGAGUAACACGUGGGAACGUACCUUUCGGUUCGGGAUAACCCAGGGAAACUUGGGCUAAUACCGGCUACGCCCUUUGGGGAAAGAUUUAUCGCCGAAGGAUCGGCCCGCGUCUGAUUAGCUGGUUGGUGGGGUAACGGCCCAUCAAGGCGACGAUCAGUAGCUGGUCUGAGAGGAUGAUCAGCCACACUGGGACUGAGACACGGCCCAGACUCCUACGGGAGGCAGCAGUGGGGAAUAUUGGACAAUGGGCGCAAGCCUGAUCCAGCCAUGCCGCGUGAGUGAUGAAGGCCCUAGGGUUGUAAAGCUCUUUCGGCGGGGACGAUAAUGACGGUACCCGCAGAAGAAGCCCCGGCUAACUUCGUGCCAGCAGCGGCGGUAAUAC